ACGACCAUACUUGAACAGGAUCUGCUUAUAAGCACUCAAGUCUGGUCGAUGCGACAUGACCUCCGGGCCAGAGCGUGAUAAACUGCUAGGAUGCUCUCUUUUGAGCCAUCCGACGGCUGUAGAGGAUCGUUCCUGCCUGGGUUCACUCCGGUGCAGGGGUGGCCCAGAGGUUGUCUGACAGACA
rnacentral:snoRNA from 1 species